rnacentral:rRNA from 1 species
AUUGAACGCUGGCGGCAGGCUUAACACAUGCAAGUCGAGCGAGCGGCGGACGGGUGAGUAAUGUCUGGGAAACUGCCUGAUGGAGGGGGAUAACUACUGGAAACGGUAGCUAAUACCGAAUACCAUUAGAUGUGCCCAGAUGGGAUUAGAUAGUAGGUGGGGUAACGGCUCACCUGGGCGACGAUCCCUAGCGGGUCUGAGAGGCUGACGCGGCCCACUGGAACUGAGACACGGUCCAGACUCCCACGGGAGGCUGCAGUAGGUAAAUUUGCCCACUGGUCGCGAGCCGGAUGCCGCCAUGCCGCGUGUGUGAAGAUGGCCUUCGGGUUGUAGCGCACUUUCAGCUGGGAGGCGGUUAUCGCAGAAGAAGCACCGGCUAACGCCGUGCCAACAGCCGCGGUAAUAC